UACGUAGGGGGCUAGCGUUGUCCGGAAUCAUUGGGCGUAAAGAGCGUGUAGGCGGCCCGGUAAGUCCGCUGUGAAAGUCGGGGGCUCAACCCUCGAAUGCCGGUGGAUACUGUCGGGCUAGAGUGCGGAAGAGGCGAGUGGAAUUCCUGGUGUAGCGGUGGAAUGCGCAGAUAUCAGGAGGAACACCUAUAGCGAAGGCAGCUUGCUGGGACGUAACUGACGCUAAGGCGCGAAAGCGUGGGGAGCGAACAGG
rnacentral:rRNA from 1 species